GCAAACAGGAUUAGAUACCCUGGUAGUCCACGCUGUAAACGAUGUCGAUUUGGAGGUUGUGCCCUUGAGGCGUGGCUUCCGGAGCUAACGCGUUAAAUCGACCGCCUGGGGAGUACGGCCGCAAGGUUAAAACUCAAAUGAAUUGACGGGGGCCCGCACAAGCGGUGGAGCAUGUGGUUUAAUUCGAUGCAACGCGAAGAACCUUACCUACUCUUGACAUCCAGAGAACUUUCCAGAGAUGGAUUGGUGCCUUCGGGAACUCUGAGACAGGUGCUGCAUGGCUGUCGUCAGCUCGUGUUGUGAAAUGUUGGGUUAAGUCCCGCAACGAGCGCAACCCUUAUCCUUUGUUGCCAGCGGUUCGGCCGGGAACUCAAAGGAGACUGCCAGUGAUAAACUGGAGGAAGGUGGGGAUGACGUCAAGUCAUCAUGGCCCUUACGAGUAGGGCUACACACGUGCUACAAUGGCAUAUACAAAGAGAAGCGACCUCGCGAGAGCAAGCGGACCUCAUAAAGUAUGUCGUAGUCCGGAUUGGAGUCUGCAACUCGACUCCAUGAAGUCGGAAUCGCUAGUAAUCGUAGAUCAGAAUGCUACGGUGAAUACGUUCCCGGGCCUUGUACACACCGCCCGUCACACCAUGGGAGUGGGUUGCAAAAGAAGUAGGUAGCUUAACCUUCGGGAGGGCGCUUACCACUUUGUGAUUCAUGACUGGGG
rnacentral:rRNA from 1 species